rnacentral:misc_RNA from 1 species
GAUGAAGAACGCAGCGAAACGCGAUAUGUAAUGUGAAUUGCAGAAUUCAGUGAAUCAUCGAAUCUUUGAACGCACAUGGCGCCUUCCAGUAUCCUGGGAGGCAUGCCUGUCCGAGCGUCGUUUCAACCCUCGAGCCCUCGUGGCCCGGCGUUGGGGAUCUGCCACGGCAGGCCCCGAAAUACAGUGGCGGACCCGUUAGGCCCUUCCUUUUCGUAGUAGCAUCAGCCUCGCAUCGGGAGCCGGCGGGCUCUCCUGCCUCUAAACCCCCCAACAAGCCCGCUCCGGCGGCACCAAGGUUGACCUCGGAUCAGGUAGGAAUACCCGCUGAACUUAAGCAUAUCAAUAAGCGGAGGA